GUAGGGAAUCUUGCGCAAUGGGCGAAAGCCUGACGCAGCCAUGCCGCGUGAAUGAUGAAGGUCUUAGGAUUGUAAAAUUCUUUCACCGGGGACGAUAAUGACGGUACCCGGAGAAGAAGCCCCGGCUAACUUCGUGCCAGCAGCCGCGGUAAUACGAAGGGGGCUAGCGUUGCUCGGAAUUACUGGGCGUAAAGGGAGCGUAGGCGGAUAGUUUAGUCAGAGGUGAAAGCCCAGGGCUCAACCUUGGAAUUGCCUUUGAUACUGGCGAUCUUGAGUAUGGAAGAGGUAUGUGGAACUCCGAGUGUAGAGGUGAAAUUCGUAGAUAUUCGGAAGAACACCAGUGGCGAAGGCGACAUACUGGUCCAUUACUGACGCUGAGGCUCGAAAGCGUGGGGAGCAAACAGGAUUAGAAACCCUUGUAGUCC
rnacentral:rRNA from 1 species